GACCCGGUCCGACUCGGUCCGACCCGCUGCGCCGCUGUGCCACCGCCCCCCCAACCCUUUCACCGUCACAUAUUUGUAGAGCCGUGGCAGUUCGGAAAAGGAACGCGGAGGAAACCCCCCUCUUAUGGGCGCAGAUUCGUAUCCGUAACGACCGUGCUAUUCGCUGCCGAUACUCGUCGUACAAACAGGCCCGUAUCUGUGAGUUUGUCGGGCAUGAAAUGCGUUCCGUGCCGUCCUGCUCGAACAGGUAGUUUUGGCGAGGACGACCGAUCGGGUUUGUCUGUGACGCGCGUGAGGAAGCGAGCAGAGCCCGCGUCACGACGUAAUCUUCACGAAAGCUUCGGGUGCUAAAACGCGACCCCCGUGCAUUCGGUAAAAGGAUGCAAACUGCAAAACGCGCCACCGUAGAUGUCGUGGGCCGAUCUUCCCGAAAUCGUGCUGGAAAACAACGUAGCGGAAAGCGGGAGCGACCGUUCACAUCGCGCUCCUUCGGGUACCUUUACUCGGCUGCGCGUGUGGCGGGAUGACGGGCGCGCGUCCGUGUCGCCGGUUCCGCCGGUUAUCGAUUAAAUGAUAACGAUGGAUAUUCGCGCACCGACGUGUUUGUGACCAUAUCGUCGCGUAUUUCCUUCUUUCGUUUCAUCCCACGGUCGAUAUUCGUAACAUUUAUCCGUCAGCUUCCGCGUAAAUGUCUGCUAGGCCCUAAUGGUGACGAUAAUAUCGGCGAUUGAGAGAAGUAUCGGAAGUCCUGGCAGCCGCCUCUUUGUGUGUGUUCUUGUAGAUGUGCCAGGCCCCCGUCGUAGGUGUCCGCGGAGAUCGUCCGGUUUGAAAUAUUCAUCUCCUUUGGGCUCUCUGAGACAGUGCGGCCUAAUUGCAGCUUCACACAACUCCACCUCACUCUGCUGACGGCCAGGGAGCAGGCAACAGCUGGUGUGUGUGCGUGUGUGUGCGCGCGCGUGUGUGGGUGUGUCACUUUUUUUUGUUUAUUUUUUCAGGCCACGUUUCAUGAAUGAGCGUGCUGCGCGUGUGAAGGGAAGGAGCGCUGUGUGUCUUUUUUGUUUUUACUCGCGUAUCUUUUAAACGCUUCGGGGUUCACGUCCUUCUAUAAAAUGUUUCAUUUUCACCAGGGUCGCUAUAAUCACCUUAACCAGUACAAUGGUUUUUUUUUUUUUUUCUUCUUCUUUUUUUAAAUUAAAUUUCAAAUUUGAUCCUCGGCGUAUCGUGUUCUCGAAGGCCGUGUUGCCGGGGCUCUCCCUCCUAAAAAUAUUCUCAUUAAUACGAGCUCCGGCUGGAUCCGCAGCAUAAAAGGCUGACACCAACUAUUGCAGCAUGUGGCACGGAGUCGGUCGGUCCGUCCGUAUGUCUGUCCGCAGGGGGGGCCCGGCCAGGGAUUUCAUCAGUUCCCGUGCCAGCGAUGCCCAGCCAAGCUGAACCAUCUUGUGGGAUUUUGGGCUUUUAAUUAUGGUGACGGUGGAUUAAUUAAGGCGCUAGGAACAAGGGGCCAUGCAUUAUUGAUGAACAAGGUUUGAUUGAGGGGCUGGAGAGAGAGAGAGACCGGUAAUUAAAUCACUUUUUCUAGCUUGGCCCCCCCGCCUCCCGCAGCCGGACUGCCGCCUUCCAUGGACAGGUUCAGUCGAAGGAGGCCGCCCGGAGCUGCGGUCCUUAGGCGUCCGUUUCCCGCGUUUCCUCUUUCCUCCGUGCGGCAGGAAUACGUUUCAAACCUUCGUUCGCGAACAAGUCGGCGGAUCGCAAGACACGUUGGCGUGGAAGUGAUCUGUGGACGAAAGCACCGAGGUAAGAGGUGCGUACGGACGGAAGGUCCCCGCCUUUAUCCGCGCUUCUUUUGCGGCGCCUUUCGGACUCUCGCUUUCUUGGCUCCCCUCCUUAUUCCGCCUGCGAGCGGCUUUGGAGAAAAGCGUCGGCCGGACGAACGCACGUCAACGCGUUGCGUCUUAUGUAUCGCUGGCGUGAUUUUUAAAGCUUUCGGUUACGCGAGCCUUAUGCUCCACCCGAGAGGCGGCGGGGGGAGAGCAACCUGUGCCUUCGCACCUGGCGGUUCAACGGUACGGGAAGGGUGCGGUCGUGUUUUCGAGGUUCCCGCGGAAUCGUACGUCACGGCAGAACCGCGCCGCAUUGACACGCUUGUGCGUUCGUUCAUCGACGCUCUCGGUUAUUGCUUAGACAUGUCGGGCGAUGCACCUCGUGGCUCUUCCUCUUCACGUCACUGUCGUGAAAGUACGGUAAUGAAAGGCUGGAAGAAUCGGUCCCGCCGGGAUUUGAAAUGGGAUGCGGAGGGAGCCGGAGCGAGGUGCGCCUCGUGAAAAGCGAGGCGAUGCUCUUCGGCGACUUUUUCGCGAAAACCUCGCCUGCCCACCGAGCGCUUAGGAGAGCUGUUGCCAGGAUGUGGACGCGCGGUCCUUGAGGCCGGGGAGGAGCGCGUGCGUCUCUAUGGUCGGAAGAGGGCGGCUGCCUUCGCUUUACAUUGUGCCUUAGCGGUUAAGAAAAGAUCGAGAUUUAAUCGCUCGCGUGAAUUUUGCGCGCCGUAUGAAGAAGCGGAGCCGCAAGCCGGCGCGCGAGUGGAUGCGUGGCCUUCCGAGGUGCCGCGCGUGAGCGCUAGGGGGCGUCCUGCGUCAACAAUCGCACACGGCAGGCUGGAGAAGAGAGGCCGCGCCGCGAGCGCGGUGAGCGUACGGGGCCGGAAGGUACCGAGAAAGCGACGGCGCUGGGGACGCUCCUCAGGCCGGGCUCCGUGUUCGCGACGACAGACCGCGAGUGUGGGAUUACCGUCCUUUCAUUGAACUGGCACGUCUCUCAGCCUUAACACCUUCCAGAUGGGGCUGGGUGCUGCCGCGAAUCUCGCCGUGGCAGCGACCGUGACGGUCGGAAGAGCCGUAAGCCCACGGUGCACGUGGGGACUCGAGGCCCGCUGCCUCCGCUCUGUAGGCCAAGGUCAAGGAGCCUGGAACGUCGCUGACCCUGCGUCGCCGUUCUCCGGAGCCCCGUUUCCCUCAGCGGGAGCAGCAGCGGCGGCAGCAGGCGGAGCGCAGCUUAAGGAUCCGUGGUGUUUAGGGAUCCGAAGCGCCACACGCAGGCUAUGAUCGGACUUAAUUAGCCAGUUCGAGUCCGUGGGGAGACCCUGCUGCUGUUACUUUGAGUAAGAGUCUGCUGGACAUGAGGUAAACAGACCCCACGGAGGAGCCCGGCGAAACGGGAGAGGCGGGACCAGAGCCGCACAGCCUCCCGCUCCGCACGGGUUCUCGGCGAUUUUUCUCGGAUGGGGCGUUCGGUAGGGAUGUGGAGUCGUCCGUGCUGUAGCGUUCGCUCGUGAUGCGCUGAUGCUCAGACGGAAGCUAUGAGCCGUGUUGCCCUAUAUCUCUGAUCUACCAGCAGUCACGCAAACUUUUACUAAAGGUUAAAACUGAAAGUAUUGCUCUCACAAAGAACCCGCUAACAAUGCCCGACAGCGCGCGAUUUCCCUGCUGACGUUCCCAGCUGGGCAGCAUGGUCGUGCGGCAGGUAGUGCUGAUGCCUCACUCUCCUGGGCUGUAGUUUGGAUGUGGGUUCGAA